rnacentral:rRNA from 1 species
ACACUGACGUCGCGACGCAUAUCAAUAAGCGGAGGAAAAGAAACUAACUAGGAUUCCCUUAGUAACGGCGAGUGAAGCGGGAAGAGCUCAAAUUUGAAAUCUUCAAGGUUCUACCUUGACGAAUUGUAGUUUAAAGAAGUGUUUUCUGUUAGAUGAGUAGCAAAAGUUCCUUGGAAUAGGGACAUCAUAGAGGGUGAGAAUCCCGUAUUUGGAUUAUUCAUUCUAGCUUUGUGAUACACUUUCAAAGAGUCGGAUUGUUUGGGAAUGCAGUCCAAAAUGGGUGGUAAAUUUCAUCUAAAGCUAAAUAUUGGCGAGAGACCGAUAGCGAACAAGUACCGUGAGGGAAAGAUGAAAAGAACUUUGAGAAAGAGAGUUAAACAGUACGUGAAAUUGUCAAAAGGGAAGCGUUUGACACCAGUGUUGUUUUUCCGAAAAUCAAUUAUAAGAUGUUUUGUUUCUGAGGAGUGAUGACUUCAUCGGCUUCCUUCUCUCUUCACGAAACUUUUGUAAUGCACUUUUCGGUUAACAAGUCAACAUCAAUUUCUUUUGUUGUAAAAGAGUAUUCGGAAGGUGGCUUUCUUUUCGGAGAAAGUGUUUAUAGCCCUAUACUUCUACAAUCGGAGAGAUUGAGGUCUGCAGCGUAGAUCCUUCGGGGUUAGAUACACUUGUGCUAAGUUAUAGCUUUUCAUAGACAACUUGUUGACUAUGUUUAGUCUUGUAGCUUACUCGCUUGUGCUAUUUUACCUACGCUUAGGAUGUUGAGUCGUAGAGCACGCAG